GGUAGCGAGGGUAGCGAGGGUAGCGAGGGUAGCGAGGGUAGCGGAGGUAGCGGAGGUAGCGAGGGUAGCGAGGGUAGCGGAGGUAGCGUGGGUAGCGAGGGUAGCGAAGGUAGCGAGGGUAGCGGAGGUAGCGAGGGUAGCGAAGGUAGCGAGGGUAGCGAAGGUAGCGAAGGUAGCGAGGGUAGCGAAGGUAGCAAAGGUAGCAAAGGUAGCGAAGGUAGCG
rnacentral:lncRNA from 1 species